CCAGACUCCUACGGGAGGCAGCAGUGGGGAAUAUUGCACAAUGGGCGCAAGCCUGAUGCAGCGACGCCGCGUGCGGGAUGACGGCCUUCGGGUUGUAAACCGCUUUUGACUGGGAGCAAGCCCUUCGGGGUGAGUGUACCUUUCGAAUAAGCACCGGCUAACUACGUGCCAGCAGCCGCGGUAAUACGUAGGGUGCAAGCGUUAUCCGGAAUUAUUGGGCGUAAAGGGCUCGUAGGCGGUUCGUCGCGUCCGGUGUGAAAGUCCAUCGCUUAACGGUGGAUCCGCGCCGGGUACGGGCGGGCUUGAGUGCGGUAGGGGAGACUGGAAUUCCCGGUGUAACGGUGGAAUGUGUAGAUAUCGGGAAGAACACCAAUGGCGAAGGCAGGUCUCUGGGCCGUCACUGACGCUGAGGAGCGAAAGCGUGGGGAGCGAACAGGAUUAGAUACCCUGGUAGUCCACGCCGUAAACGGUGGAUGCUGGAUGUGGGGACCAUUCCACGGUCUCCGUGUCGGAGCCAACGCGUUAAGCAUCCCGCCUGGGGAGUACGGCCGCAAGGCUAAAACUCAAAGAAAUUGACGGGGGCCCGCACAAGCGGCGGAGCAUGCGGAUUAAUUCGAUGCAACGCGAAGAACCUUACCUGGGCUUGACAUGUUCCCGACAGCCCCAGAGAUGGGGCCUCCCUUCGGGGCGGGUUCACAGGUGGUGCAUGGUCGUCGUCAGCUCGUGUCGUGAGAUGUUGGGUUAAGUCCCGCAACGAGCGCAACCCUCGCCCUGUGUUGCCAGCACGUCGUGGUGGGAACUCACGGGGGACCGCCGGGGUCAACUCGGAGGAAGGUGGGGAUGACGUCAGAUCAUCAUGCCCCUUACGUCCAGGGCUUCACGCAUGCUACAAUGGCCGGUACAACGGGAUGCGACCUCGUGAGGGGGAGCGGAUCCCUUAAAACCGGUCUCAGUUCGGAUUGGAGUCUGCAACCCGACUCCAUGAAGGCGGAGUCGCUAGUAAUCGCGGAUCAGCAACGCCGCGGUGAAUGCGUUCCCGGGCCUUGUACACACCGCCCGUCAAGUCAUGAAAGUGGGUAGCACCCGAAGCCGGUGGCCCAACCUUUUUGGGGGGAGCCGUCUAAGGUGAGACUCGUGAUUGGGACUAAGUCGUAACAAGGUAGCCGUACCGGAAGGUGCGGCUG
rnacentral:rRNA from 1 species